GGUUAAGCGACUAAGCGUACACGGUGGAUGCCCUGGCAGUCAGAGGCGAUGAAGGACGUGCUAAUCUGCGAAAAGCGUCGGUAAGGUGAUAUGAACCGUUAUAACCGGCGAUGUCCGAAUGGGGAAACCCAGUGUGAUUCGUCACACUAUCGUUAACUGAAUACAUAGGUUAACGAGGCGAACCGGGGGAACUGAAACAUCUAAGUACCCCGAGGAAAAGAAAUCAACCGAGAUUCCCCCAGUAGCGGCGAGCGAACGGGGAGCAGCCCAGAGUCUGAAUCAGCUUGUGUGUUAGUGGAACGGUCUGGAAAGUCCGACGGUACAGGGUGAUAGUCCCGUACACCAAAAUGCACAGGCUGUGAACUCGAAGAGUAGGGCGGGACACGUGGUAUCCUGUCUGAAUAUGGGGGGACCAUCCUCCAAGGCUAAAUACUCCUGACUGACCGAUAGUGAACCAGUACCGUGAGGGAAAGGCGAAAAGAACCCCGGCGAGGGGAGUGAAAAAGAACCUGAAACCGUGUACGUACAAGCAGUGGGAGCACCUUCGGGUGUGACUGCGUACCUUUUGUAUAAUGGGUCAGCGACUUAUAUUCUGUAGCAAGGUUAACCGUAUAGGGGAGCCGCAGGGAAACCGAGUCUUAACUGGGCGUUAAGUUGCAGGGUAUAGACCCGAAACCCGGUGAUCUAGCCAUGGGCAGGUUGAAGGUUGGGUAACACUAACUGGAGGACCGAACCGACUAAUGUUGAAAAAUUAGCGGAUGACUUGUGGCUGGGGGUGAAAGGCCAAUCAAACCGGGAGAUAGCUGGUUCUCCCCGAAAGCUAUUUAGGUAGCGCCUCGUGAAUUCAUCUUCGGGGGUAGAGCACUGUUUCGGCUAGGGGGUCAUCCCGACUUACCAACCCGAUGCAAACUACGAAUACCGAAGAAUGUUAUCACGGGAGACACACGGCGGGUGCUAACGUCCGUCGUGAAGAGGGAAACAACCCAGACCGCCAGCUAAGGUCCCAAAGUCAUGGUUAAGUGGGAAACGAUGUGGGAAGGCACAGACAGCCAGGAUGUUGGCUUAGAAGCAGCCAUCAUUUAAAGAAAGCGUAAUAGCUCACUGGUCGAGUCGGCCUGCGCGGAAGAUGUAACGGGGCUAAACCAUGCACCGAAGCUGCGGCAGCGACACUAUGUGUUGUUGGGUAGGGGAGCGUUCUGUAAGCCUGCGAAGGUGACCUGUGAGGGUUGCUGGAGGUAUCAGAAGUGCGAAUGCUGACAUAAGUAACGAUAAAGCGGGUGAAAAGCCCGCUCGCCGGAAGACCAAGGGUUCCUGUCCAACGUUAAUCGGGGCAGGGUGAGUCGACCCCUAAGGCGAGGCCGAAAGGCGUAGUCGAUGGGAAACAGGUUAAUAUUCCUGUACUUGGUGUUACUGCGAAGGGGGGACGGAGAAGGCUAUGUUAGCCGGGCGACGGUUGUCCCGGUUUAAGCAUGUAGGCUGGUU
rnacentral:rRNA from 1 species